UACGAGUGCCCCAAGCGUUGUCCGGAAUCAUUGGGCGUAAAGAGCGCGUAGGCGGCCAGAUAAGUCCGGUGUGAAAGUCAAAGGCUCAACCUUUGAAUGCCGCUGGAAACUGUCUGGCUAGAGUCCGGGAGGGGCGAGUGGAAUUCCUGGUGUAGCGGUGAAAUGCGCAGAUAUCAGGAGGAACACCAAUGGCGAAGGCAGCUCGCUGGAACGGUACUGACGCUGAGGCGCGAAAGCGUGGGGAGCGAACAGG
rnacentral:rRNA from 1 species